rnacentral:misc_RNA from 1 species
GAAAUGCGAUAAGUAAUGUGAAUUGCAGAAUUCAGUGAAUCAUCGAAUCUUUGAACGCACAUUGCGCCUAUUAGUAUUCUAGUAGGCAUGCCUGUUCGAGCGUCAUUUCAACCCUCAGAACCCCUUGCGGGAUCUGGCGUUGGGGAUUGGCAUCCGGCCAGCCCCGAAAUCUAGUGGCGGUCCCUCCGCGACCUCCCCUGUGCAGUAGCGAUACCUCGCAGCGGGACAGCGGUCUGACCACGCCGUAAAACCCCCAACUUCUCAAGGUUGACCUCGAAUCAGGUAGGAAUACCCGCUGAACUUAAGC